rnacentral:lncRNA from 1 species
GGGUGGUGCAGAAGAGAACAGAAAGGCUUAUCUUACACAUCCUGCCAGAGAUCUAAGGUGUCACUUGUUUCAAAGUGACAAUAUCCUUUUGCGUUGGUUCUGUUGUGCAAUGGAUCACAUGAACUGUGCUUCUCACUGUUGGAGUGAAAAACCUACAGCCAGGCCUUUGUCAUGGACGCUGCCUUCCCUCAUGCAGGCACUCCCAGACUGGAAAAAAAUCGGGCAACGGAAGGAAGAAAGAGGGAAGGACAAAAGCCAUGUCAUACUCAACACUUCUGCUUACGUCUCAUUGGCCAGAAUGAAGUCACAUUGCCACUUGAGCUGCAAGAGUGACUGAGGAACGUGGCGUUUGAUCUGGGCACGCUGCUCUCCUGAAUAAAAUUGAGAUUCUAUUACCAAGGAAAAAGGGAAGAAUCGAAGCUAACAACAUUUCUGUCAUAGUUUCUAAAAAGAACUGUGUCCUCUGACCAUCUUCUAACUCAUCCCGAUUCCCAUUUCCUAGAGGGCAAGCUAAAUAAAGCAAGAAUAGAAAAAACAAGAGUCAGUUUAUACGUGGGACGCCUACCACAGCAUGGCUGCCAAGCAGUGCCAUGUCGGCACCUGGGAUCCGAACCAGCGAACCCCGGGCCGCCGAGAAGCGGAACGUGCGAACUUAACCGCUGCGCCACCGGGCCGGCCCCAGUAGCUUCUGUUUUUAAAGAUGUGAAGCUGAAAAGGCAAAUGUACCAGAAGCAAGGACUGAGAAGGACCCUGCAAGCUCCUGACUCACCCAGCUUCUCUCUGACUUUGAUCAGUCGAUAGUAGGAGCAAGAAGACAGACCUGGAUAACCAGCCUCUGAAAAACAGAAGGUUAAUAUGUUUUUUUCCAGGAGACUUGCCAAAGAUCCUGCUCAAUAGUCUGAUUGAGAAAAAUUUAUGUGUUUCCCCCUACCUGUAUCUUGAAACAUUUUCCUGCAUGGUAAAUAUAUUUACCUUGGUAAAUAAUUUCAAUUAAACUGGAAUUAGAAAAAAAAAUAACAUUUUCUGCAAUGUGAAACAAUAGCUCAAACUUUUUUGCCUCUCCUCUUUCUGUGAUUUACAAUGACAUCUAAUACUGGAA